CAACAGGGAUUGCCUCAGUAACGGCGAGUGAAGCGGCACAAGCUCAAAUUUGAAAUCUGGCUCUUUCAGGGUCCGAGUUGUAAUUUGUAGAAGAUGCUUCGGGUGUGGCCCCGGUCUAAGUUCCUUGGAACAGGACGUCAUAGAGGGUGAGAAUCCCGUAUGUGACUGGGUGCCUACGCUCAUGUGAAGCUCUUUCGACGAGUCGAGUUGUUUGGGAAUGCAGCUCAAAAUGGGUGGUAUAUUUCAUCUAAAGCUAAAUAUUGGCCAGAGACCGAUAGCGCACAAGUAGAGUGAUCGAAAGAUGAAAAGCACUUUGGAAAGAGAGUUAAACAGUACGUGAAAUUGUUGAAAGGGAAGCGCUUGCAAUCAGACUUGCGCCUGGGUAAUCAUCCGGGGUUCUCUCCGGUGCACUUGCUCAGGCUCAGGCCAGCAUCGGUUUGGGUGGUUGGAUAAAGGCCUUGGGAAUGUGGCCCCCUUCGGGGGGUGUUAUAGCCCUCGGUGCCAUGCAGCCUACCUGGACCGAGGACCGCGCUUCGGCUAGGAUGCUGGCGUAAUGGUUGUAAGCGACCCGUCUUGAAACACGGACCAAGGAGUCUAACAUCUAUGCGAGUGUUUGGGUGUCAAACCCAUACGCGUAAUGAAAGUGAACGGAGGUGAGAACCCUUUAGGGCGCAUCAUCGACCGAUCCUGAUGUCUUCGGAUGGAUUUGAGUAAGAGCAUAGCUGUUGGGACCCGAAAGAUGGUGAACUAUGCGUGAAUAGGGUGAAGCCAGAGGAAACUCUGGUGGAGGCUCGCAGCGGUUCUGACGUGCAAAUCGAUCGUCAAAUUUGCGUAUAGGGGCGAAAGACUAAUCGAACCAU
rnacentral:rRNA from 1 species